rnacentral:rRNA from 1 species
UGAGGAAUAUUGGUCAAUGGACGAGAGUCUGAACCAGCCAAGUAGCGUGAAGGAUGACUGCCCUAUGGGUUGUAAACUUCUUUUAUACGGGAAUAAAGUGAGGCACGUGUGCCUUUUUGUAUGUACCGUAUGAAUAAGGAUCGGCUAACUCCGUGCCAGCAGCCGCGGUAAUACGGAGGAUCCGAGCGUUAUCCGGAUUUAUUGGGUUUAAAGGGAGCGUAGGCGGACGCUUAAGUCAGUUGUGAAAGUUUGCGGCUCAACCGUAAAAUUGCAGUUGAUACUGGGUGUCUUGAGUACAGUAGAGGCAGGCGGAAUUCCCGGUGUAGCGGUGGAAUGCGUAGAUAUCGGGAGGAACACCAGUGGCGAAGGCGGCCUACUGGGCACCAACUGACGCUGAGGCUCGAAAGUGUGGGUAGCAAACAGGAUUAGAUACCCUGGUAGUCCACACGGUAAACGAUGAAUACUCGCUGUUUGCGAUAUACAGCAAGCGGCCAAGCGAAAGCGUUAAGUAUUCCACCUGGGGAGUACGCCGGCAACGGUGAAACUCAAAGGAAUUGACGGGGGCCCGCACAAGCGGAGGAACAUGUGGUUUAAUUCGAUGAUACGCGAGGAACCUUACCCGGGCUUAAAUUGCAGAUGAAUUACGGUGAAAGCCGUAAGCCGCAAGGCAUCUGUGAAGGUGCUGCAUGGUUGUCGUCAGCUCGUGCCGUGAGGUGUCGGCUUAAGUGCCAUAACGAGCGCAACCCUUGUUGUCAGUUACUAACAGGUUCUGCUGAGGACUCUGACAAGACUGCCAUCGUAAGAUGUGAGGAAGGUGGGGAUGACGUCAAAUCAGCACGGCCCUUACGUCCGGGGCUACACACGUGUUACAAUGGGGGGUACAGAGGGCCGCUACCACGCGAGUGGAUGCCAAUCCCCAAAACCUCUCUCAGUUCGGACUGGAGUCUGCAACCCGACUCCACGAAGCUGGAUUCGCUAGUAAUCGCGCAUCAGCCACGGCGCGGUGAAUACGUUCCC